GUGCCAGCCGCCGCGGUAAAACGUAGGUGGCAAGCGUUAUCCGGAUUCACUGGGCGUAAAGCGCCUGCAGGCGGUCCUGUAAGUGGGACGUGAAAUCUCUUGGCUUAACUGAGAGAGGUCGUUCCAUACUGCGGGACUGGAGGGCAGAAGAGGGAAGCGGAAUUCCCGGUGUAGUGGUGAAAUGCGUAGAUAUCGGGAGGAACACCAGUGGCGAAGGCGGCUUCCUGGCCUGCUCCUGACGCUAAGAGGCGAAAGCUAGGGGAGCGAACGGGAUUAGAUACCCGGGUAGUCC
rnacentral:rRNA from 1 species